rnacentral:rRNA from 1 species
GACGAACGCUGACGGCGUGCCUAAUACAUGCAAGUCGAACGAAGCUUUUUUAACUGGUGCUUGCACCGACUUAAACAACUGAGUGGCGAACGGGUGAGUAACACGUGGGUAACCUGCCCCAAAGCGGGGGAUAACAUUUGGAAACAGAUGCUAAUACCGCAUAACCACAGAAACCACAUGGUUUCUGUGUCAAAGAUGGUUUCGGCUAUCACUUUGGGAUGGACCCGCGGCGUAUUAGCUAGUUGGUAAGGUAAUGGCUUACCAAGGCAAUGAUACGUCGCCGAACUUGGAGGUUGCUCGGCCACAUUGGGACUGAGACACGGCCCAAACUCCUACGGGAGGCAGCAGUAGGUAAUCUUCCACAAUGGACGAAAGUCUGAUGGAGCAACGCCGCGUGAGUGAAGAAGGUUUUCGGAUCGUAAAACUCUGUUGUCAGAGAAGAACGUGUGCGAAAGUAACUGUUCGUGCAGUGACGGUAUCUGGCCAGAAAGCCACGGCUAACUACGUGCCAGCCGCCGCCGUAA